GAUGAACGCUGGCGGCGUGCCUAACACAUGCAAGUCGAACGGAGAUUACGGACGGAAGUUUUCGGAUGGAAGCCUGUACUUCUUAGUGGCGGACGGGUGAGUAACGCGUGGGCAACCUGCCCUAUACAGGGGGAUAGCAGCUGGAAACGGCUGAUAAGACCGCAUAAGUCGGUUAAAUCGCAUGAUUUGAUCGGGAAAUGAGCGAUCAGGUAUAGGAUGGGCCCGCGUCCGAUUAGCCAGUUGGCAGGGUAAAAGCCUACCAAAGCGACGAUCGGUAGCCGGGCUGAGAGGCCGGACGGCCACAAUGGGACUAAGACACAGCCCAAAAUCCUACGCGAGGGAGCAGAGGGGGAUAUUGCACAAUGGAGGAUACUCUGAUGCAGCGACGCCGGGUGAGUGAAGAAGUAGUUCGGUAAGUAAAGCUCGAUCAGAAGGGAAGAUAAUGACGGUACCUGAAUAAGAAGCCCCGGCUAACUACGUG
rnacentral:rRNA from 1 species